rnacentral:rRNA from 1 species
CCUACGGGUGGCAGCAGUGGGGAAUAUUGGACAAUGGGGGCAACCCUGAUCCAGCCAUGCCGCGUGUGUGAAGAAGGCCCUCGGGUUGUAAAGCACUUUCAGUGAGGAAGAACGCCUGGUGGUUAAUACCCAUCAGGAAAGACAUCACUCACAGAAGAAGCACCGGCUAACUCCGUGCCAGUAGCCGCGGUAAUACGGAGGGUGCGAGCGUUAAUCGGAAUUACUGGGCGUAAAGCGCGCGUAGGUGGCUUGAUAAGCCGGUUGUGAAAGCCCCGGGCUCAACCUGGGAACGGCAUCCGGAACUGUCAAGCUAGAGUGCAGGAGAGGAAGGUAGAAUUCCCGGUGUAGCGGUGAAAUGCGUAGAGAUCGGGAGGAAUACCAGUGGCGAAGGCGGCCUUCUGGACUGACACUGACACUGAGGUGCGAAAGCGUGGGUAGCAAACAGGAUUAGAUACCCCGGUAGUC